ensembl:lncRNA
GGAGGAAUAGCAACAUGAAGGUCAGCGUAAACAAACCUGUUUAUUACAGAAACAUCACAAACUGAGCUUUACAACAGAAACAUCACCGUGAGCGUAGAAAACGUACUCUGGAAAUCUCAAACAGCAGCACAAAUACGUGUGAAAACAAAGAGUGGGAGGAAUAAAUCUUUAGAAAAUAGACUGUCCCUUUAGCUUCAUUUACAAUAUCUCAAAAUAUUUCAUGGAAAGUCGGCGUGAAAGUGAUUAUUGUUGAGUGUGUCUGUGGACACGAGCGUCCCGGGUUGUGGACCUCCCUGUGCGUCCUCAUGCUUCAUUUCCAAGGCUGUUAAAACUGAGUCUGAUUCUUUGUUGGCAUUCAGAGGCUGGAAAACCCUCAUUCAAAUAUGAACACAUGAUGGAGGCUCAAGACUUUUGCACUGUGUGUGUGUGUGUGUGUGUGUGUGUCAGCAUUUUUCUUAUGGUGCCAUAAAACUUCUUUGCUAUGUGGAAGUAAACGUGCUUUCAUCCGAAGAGUAAAAAGGUUUCUUCGUCACUCCAACACUGGGAGAAUGUUUCCUGCUCUCAUUGUUUGUGAUCAAAGAUUCACAUCAAACUGCAGCGAGCACUUUGAACUUUGAACUUUGAAAAAUCACAAAAUGAUCCGCAAACGGAAAAACGGGACCCUGAAACCGGGACACUCGUGUCGAGGUAACCACACCUGGAGACAAAGAGACAGCAGUGUUUGCUCUGUGUUUCUACUGUGUGCACAUACAGCAGUCAUAUUAGAAUAAGCCUUUUUCCUGCCCACUCUGGAAAUGUGGGAUGUGACAAGUUUUAUGACAAAUAAGCUCAAAUUUGCAGUUUUCUGUUCACGACCCACCAGUCAAGCAUAACACACCACAGAAACACGAUAAUCAUCGAGCAGGUACGAAGGAGCCGGGUGUGUUUUUCUACAAGCACAGAAAUCUAAUGACUACAGCUUAAAAGCAGAAGUCAGCCAAUCAGAAUAAGACGUAACUCUGAAUCAUACAAAGCUACCCUCUAAAGAAAAUCCAGAGCUGGAUGAGACACUUGGAUGAAUGAUGGGAAGAAAUCGGCUUAUUUUGGACUUUUCUUCAUCUUCAUGAACACAGAGGAAACGCCGCUGAGCUCGGAGGGCUUUGCGGUUCAGUUACAGACAUGUCUGUGGUCAGAGGUAUCUUUCUGGUCAGUUGCUAUGACGGUUUCACGAGAAGGAAUUUAGUUUUUAAAACCCACAUUUCCACAUAAAUACACGAGUUUGUGUCGGUCGUGUCUCUGUGGCGUUGAGCAGACGAGCAGCUCUCCGUUCUUCUGAACACAUCGUUGCGUUUUUCUGUUUCCCAGAAGCAGCACAUCAGCACCAAGGCCCCUUUAGAAAGCGGGUGAAUGGGAGGAGGUGGUUAGCGGUAGAAAAGUAAGGCGCUGGCGGC